UUCCAAUCGAGCGUAUUACUCCACAAAAAUAAUACGUUGCGAGGAAAAAGGAGGAAAAAAAUACCGUGGCCUGCGGUGCGGCAGUGUGGAGACCUGUCGUAUAUGCGGAUGGAAUGAUCCGUGAAGUUACAGCAUGCGGAGGCACUGUAACUAAGGCAAGAAAGAUGGCA
rnacentral:ncRNA from 1 species